AUUUUUUCCCAUAAUCGGAAAGUUAGGUUAUUAUUGAAGAGAUAUGAAAGAAAGUUCUUGGACGUGAAUCUGUAUCAAAAUCGGAUGUAAUAACUGAUAGUUUAUUUUGUCACCAAUAAUACUUAUUUUUCAGGCACAUAUAAAUUUAUCAUAUCAAGAAAUGUAUAAAAUUCAUAAAUGUCAAAUAUCAUCUCUCGGGAAGUCUCAUUUUAAAUAAAAAAAGCUUCUUCAGGGAUUAAAUUACAUGCAAACUCAUAGAAUGAGAAACUUCCUUAUUCUUGGUGUAUGAACAUAAGAAUUUCUAGAUAACAAACGGUUCUUGGGGGCACAUAUAAAUUUAUCAGAUCAAGAAAUGUAUAAUAUCAUUUCUCGGACAGUGUUAUUUGGUAAAAAAGAGGUAGUUCAGAGUAAGUUUAUAAAGCAAUUCAUUCAGGAUAGUUUCUAUGUGAAGUAAAUGAUCU